AGUGAACGCUGGCGGUAGGCCUAACACAUGCAAGUCGAACGGCAGCACAGUAAGAGCUUGCUCUUACGGGUGGCGAGUGGCGGACGGGUGAGGAAUACAUCGGAAUCUACUUUUUCGUGGGGGAUAACGUAGGGAAACUUACGCUAAUACCGCAUACGACCUACGGGUGAAAGCAGGGGAUCUUCGGACCUUGCGCGAUUGAAUGAGCCGAUGUCGGAUUAGCUAGUUGGCGGGGUAAAGGCCCACCAAGGCGACGAUCCGUAGCUGGUCUGAGAGGAUGAGCAGCCACGGUGAAACUGAGACACGGUCCAGACUCCUACGGGAGGCAGCAGUGGGGAAUAUUGGACAAUGGGCGCAAGCCUGAUACAGCCAUACCGCGUGGGUGAAGAAGGCCUUCGGGGUGUAAAGCCCUUUUGUUGGGAAAGAAAAGCAGCAGGUUAAUACCCCGCUGUUCUGACGGUACCCAAAGAAUAAGCACCGGCUAACUGCG
rnacentral:rRNA from 1 species